ensembl:misc_RNA
UGCAUGCCUGGAGACAGAAGGCCUCUGUUUAGACACAGAACAGGUACGGCACUGGCAGAGGUAGGGCAAGCUUCUGGCAUCUGCUUCUGUUCUAACCUAGACAGACCAUCUCCACGUUUGCAAGAGAACAGUGUAGUUUCCAUGCCAUCAUCUAUGGUCCAU